GCUUCCAGUCUCGUCCCUUUCACGUCCAGAUGAGACCCUCUCCUCGUCCAGUUUCAGCCCGUAGGCUGCGCUCUUCUCUUCGGCCACCGGAGGGAGCCGUGAACCUCCAUCCAGACGCUGGUCCGGGUGAAUAAGCAGGUCUUACCAACGGCGCUUCCUCACCUAUAAAACGGGACUUAACUAUGACAUCCCUUCUAAAAGAGCAUUGGAGAAUUAAUCGCGUAUACUCCGUUUUCUUUUGCAGACUUGGCGGGGGGGGGGGGGCGCGCUCUUUAUGUAGACCGGGCUAGCCCCAGUUCAAUACAUUGCUGAAGAAGACUUCAUGCUUCUGAUCAUCCCGCCUCCGCCUCCCAUGUGUCGGGAUUACAGAUAAGUAACAGCACAGCCUGAUGCUAAUGUUUAUUUUCCUAAAAAAGCACUGUCCCCACCCUUGCCCCUAGAUUAAACACACAGCGUCAGUCAGGCACACUAACUGAUGCUACAGUACAUGCACAGCCUUAACAUAUUGACUCUUUAGUCCAAUGCAUACAUAUUCAGUGAUUUUUUCCCCCUCACACAGUAUCGUAUUAAAUAUGCAUAACCGUUCAAUGCGUGCAUGCUGCUACUAUUGUGGUUUCAUUAGAUUAGGGAACUGAAGAUGGAAAGUUUAAAUCCUUUUUUUUUUUUAGUUUUGUUUUUUAAAUGUUGUGAGCGUUUUGUCUGCAUGUAUGUAUGUGCGCCACAUGUGUGCCUGGUGCCCAUAGAGGUCAGAGGAGGGUACUCGAUCUUGGGACUGGAGGUACGGAUGAUUGUGAACCACCACAUAGCUGAUGGGAACUGAAUCUGAGUACUCUGCAGGAGCAGCAAGUACCUUUACCCGCUGUGCCAUUUCGCUGGUCCUCCUUGGAGACAGACAUGAACUUGGGGAGGCAGACAGGAGGAUCCCAGGGCUUAGCUUAGCUGCACUGGUGAGCUUCAAGUUCAGUGAGAGAACCAUCCUAAGAAAUAAAGUAGAAAGCUACUGAGAAAGACACCUGACCUAGGCUUCCAGCUGCGAACAUAUGUGGGCACAGACUUCCACACCCACUGUGGCUCUACCAAGGACACAUUUGACAUCCUUGCUGCUACCCAUGUUUCAGGUAGUAUUUGGUGAUUUUUUUGGAAUUUCUUAAGGCUCAGAUGUGGCUCGCCCUAUGAUGACUAUGAAAAUAAAAACUGCUCUGGUCCUCCA